rnacentral:lncRNA from 1 species
UAGGAGGGCUCUUCAUCUGGUGUGCUCUUACCGGCUUCAGGAUGGUCUUGUUCUACAUAUUAUCAAUUUCAUGUAACGCUUUUGAGUUUGGAGCGAUUUAGAUGAACAAGAGACCAAAUUUUCUAUGUUUACUUGGAGAAUCCCAUAAACCAUUUUUGGUUUUGCAAUUCUGUCUGGUUCUGUUUAGCGUCUAUCUACAAUUCAUCAGUUAAAAUUAGACAUUGUGAUAUUCGUGUUGUCUGAUCUGAGCGAGUGUAAUCGCUGCUUUCAGUGCACUCAAGCUCGGACAGUUUGACUAUAUGGUUAUUGCACAUCCACCCACAUCUUUUAUAUCCUUAUUGGGAUGUAAAAAACUGUCACUAAAAGCUUCCUGUCAGCGGAACCAACGUAUAAUGUGUGCUAUUUUGCAACCAGCCUAAUAUAACAAUUGUUUAUAUAUCAAUAUAGAUGCAAUCUUUUGGUCGCUAGACAAUGUUGUGACGAUUAUGCAGAAACAUACAGAUCUGGCCUUCCAGAUCGAUUGAGAGUAUAACUUAACUUAUGUGCUGGAGACACGUGACGAUCAAGAGGGAUGCCUCGGUUCGAGGAGAGAGGCGUCGGUUGCGGUAGCAACCUCACGAUCGUUCGGGCAAUUACAUAUAGUAAUUAAUUCUAACACUCCCCCUAAUCUACACUUGACCAUAUAGAGUCAUCUUCACGAUUAUCCGGGAAGUUCCCUCAAAAAGGUUUCUCCUCCGAAAGUUCUUCAUAACAUAUUUGAUGAGAUCCUGAAAUAUAAACUCACAAAGGGAUAGCAUAACGUGAUGUCUUUAAACAAGAAUAUCUCAAGAAGAGACUCCCCCUGAUUCUUGCAUAUCUGGAACAUAGAAGUUGGUAGAGACCUGGUGAACAAAUCAGUCGCAUGAUUUGACUUGCAAGAUAUGCAAUAUAGUGAUAUUGCUUAUUAUGUAACCUGUUUUCAUCCGGGCAACACAAGAAACAUUAUCGUUGAGAUAAUGGUUGAUGGAUGUAGUCAUGAGGUCUGUUUCGAAGACUCUUCAUGAGAAGGUUACCACACCUAGUAGGAACACUAAGUUUGUUUACGAUCUGACAUAGUGGGGAUCUGCUCGAUGUAUCCAAUGAUAUCGGAGGUCACAUUUCUGUGAAACUAAAAAACCAGGACAAGAUGUUUGAUGGCUUGGAGAUAUCGAAAGAUAUUCUCGAGUACCAACCAAUCGUGUUUGGUAGAUCCAAUGGUGAAAGUGCUAGUUAUCGACUAGAGGAGGGGGGGGGGGAUGAAUAGGCGAUUUUUAUGAAAGUCUUCAAAACAUGGGAGUUUCGAAGACAAAUAAUAGAAAUGAACCUAUUGACAUGCAGCGGAAGGUGGACUACACUAGACAAGCCAUAGUCAAGUAUUCAAUGAAGUGAAAGCACGAAGACUAUUAGCAGCUAAGUUGUAAGGAUUAGGAUGGAAGAUAGUAUGAAGCCAAACAAUGAUAGUCGUCACACAGUGAAGUCAAUCAGAUCAAGCAAGCAGGCAAUGACUUCAUGAAGACAAACAGUAAGUAAAGAGAGGGAGAAGAUAUAACCACUUGCUUGGUGAGGACAAAGAUUUGUUGGACCAGUUCCAGUUGCUGUGACAACUGUACGUCUGGUUAGGGAGGCUGAGAUUCAACUCAGAAGACCGCGUCUUCACCUUAUUCCCUUUGAGCUAAGGACAUUUAGUCCUCACCCAAUCACUCUGGUAAGUCUUCAAGGUAGACUUCCAAACCUUCACAGACUCCGUUCACCGGCAAUCCACAAUGACUCUUGGAUACUCAGAACGCGACGCCUAACCGGCUGGAGGAUUCACAGUCCUCAAGUGUAACAAGUCUUCAGAUCACGCGGACAGAAAGACUUCAGUGAUGCCAAACACUCUUUGGGCUCUGGGUGUUUUGGGCGUUGUCCUCGCAAGGAUCUCUCUCUCAAAGGCUUCGAGGUGGGUUGCUCUCAAACAAAAAAGCCGUGCACUAACUCUGAGCAGCCACCAAUUUAUGGUGUAGGGGGUGGGCUAUUUAUAGCCAGUAGGCAACCCGACCUGAUUUGUCCGAAAUGACCCUAGGUCACUAAGGAACUGACACAUGUCCAACGGUCAGAUUUCAAACACACGCGACAGCUUGAUUUGGGCUACCAGUAAAGCUGACUCAUCCAGCUCUGGAUAAGAUUUGCUCUCAUUGUCUUCGCUCGAAGACAUAGGAUUUGGUUGAGCAUCACUUCAGUCACUCUAAUUUUGUUCACUUGGACCCCACUUAACAGUACGGUGGUUCCUAUGACUCAACAAAGAAGAAAAGGAAACUACAAAACAACUAUGUCUUUGCACUCCAUAGUCUUCACAUGAAUGUCUUCUCGAGUCAUAAUCUUCGUUGUGAAUAUCUUCACAUACCACCAUUGUCUUCAAUGUCUUCUAACAUUUUUAGGGGUCAUCUCCGGUAGUUAAACCGAAUCAAUGAGGGACUACUACCUGUGUUAUCCUGUAAUUCUCACAAACACAUUAGUCCCUCAACCAGGUUUGUCGUCAAUACUCCAAAACCAACUAGGGGUGGCACUAGAUGCACUUACAAUCUCCCCCUUUUUGGUGAUUGAUGACAAACUAGUUGAAGUUUUCAAUGGGGAUAAAAGUAUUUGAAAUUGUAAGGGUAAAGAUAUUGUCUUCAUAAGUAGCAAAAGGCUCCCCCUAAAGAUGUGCAUAUAAGUAUUUUGCUUUUGAAUGCAAAUGCACAUGGCAGGUUGUACUUGUGGAGAUCCUCUUCAACUUAAGAAGACAAUUCAUCAUGCAUGAAAAGAUAUAACGAAGAUAAUGACAAGCAUAAUGAAAAAUGGACGUCUGCGAAAUGACUUCGUGCGGAAUUUAUCGUCGCACAUGCGGAAUUUAUCAUCGCAUCACAUAGUUGAUAGAAAAGGUAGCAGACGACCAUCAAGUUUAAGUGUUACAACUCAAAGAACCAAAUGUAUCAAAAGCGAGAGUUGUAAGCACUUGGCAAAAGGUAUAGCAACCACCCAUAAGGACCCGCUUGAAUACUAUCAACUCAUAUGCUUCUCCCCCUUUUGUCAGUAAGGACCAAAAAGGUUUGAAGACAUAGAGCUUCUACUUGUUCCCAUGAGGUGCAGGGUCGACGUUGGAGUCCGGUGGUGCAGAAGAACUUGGCGCAGUGUUGAUACGAGGCGAAGUUGUAGUUGGUGAAGUGGCAUCGUCUUCGUCAUCAAUGACUCUGGCAUUGACAGUUGCCGCUGAGGAGGAGUACUCAGAGUCUUCGAGUGAGGGAGUCCUACGCAAGACAGCGUUCCUGGGAGGAGUGGAAUCAAAUUUGAAUCUCUCUGUGAAGCCAUCUUGUUGAAGAUCAUCUUCAGAACUGAGUAAUGUCAGACUCUUCCACGACCGCCGACAGGUUUCAUGAGUGACAAAUGCAUUCUUGGUGGCUAGAUUGCGAAUGCGAUUAACAUCCACCAAGAGACUCUGCAUCUGACGCUUCAGCCAGUAAUGAUGCUUAUCCUGUUUCUGAUGUAGUGCCACAAGAAGCUCUCGGUCAUUGAGAACGCGAGAUCGCUUUCGAGGCCUUUGAGCAAUGGUGCUCUCAGUGGCUUCAGUAUGGGCACGAUGAGGUGCACGUGUAUUUCCAGCCAAAGGAUAAACACGAGUUGCAGCAAGAACUCCUUCAAUAGGUUGAGUGAAACUUUGACGAUCGAUGUUGUGAAGAUAAAUUGGCUCCUUGGCAGGCUCUGGGUUUAACAAUGAAAUCAUGCGCUACCAUACUCUUAUAACCUAAAUAAGCAGUGGGCAGCAAUUUUUCUUCUUUUUCAUAGUGCCUAAUAGGUAUGUUAUAAUGUGUAGCAAGGUGUGAAGCAUAAAUACCUCCAAAGAUGGGGCCCUUUGUACGGUUCAGACUUAACCGUUUAGCAAUAAUUCCGCCCAUACUAACAGUGUUAUCGCGGAAUAAACCAUGGAACAAAAUGAUAAUAUCAGGAACACUAAGGUUUCCACAGUUUCCACGACCAAUUAAGCAACGACUAGCAAAUAUGGCAGUAGCGUAAAACAGGAAAAUGUAUGCUAGUGAUUCUUGCAUCGGAAACCUUCCUGGUUUCCCCCACAAUAAUGGUGUCAAUAAACCCGUCCACAUCUUUACGAUGUGGUUCAUCUAAGGUACCCUCAAAGGGUAUUUUGCAAACCUUGUAAAAUUCAUCUAGUGGCAUCUUCUUAACAACAUCAUAUAAAUGAAACUGUACUGAAGGAGGUGAUUCCUUAGGAUAAUAGUAGAAGUUUUGCACAAAAGUAUUGGUGAGUAAGAGAUACUGUUGACGUUGGUCGCGGAGGAAGUCGGUGAGGCCAGCAUUCUCAGCCAAUGAAUAGAAAUCAUCAUAAAUCCCGGCUUCCCUCAAGAAAUCAUCGGAAGGCCAUUCACAUGGCUGGACCUCCGCGGUGCGAGGCAAAUUAUAUUUGGGCCUAUGUGCUUCUUCAUUUUGCUUUUCCUUCGAGCUUCGGCUCGAUGAGCCCCUCAAAAAUCUCUUCAUUAUUUUCUGAAAAAUUCUGAAAUUUUUAGUAACUUCAAACAAAGGUGAACCAAGCUCAACAAAAUUGAUAGCAACUACUCCUACAAGUGCCUAGAGCCUAUAACAUGCAUUAGAACUACUUGGAACCAUAUAAAUUUGACAUGCAAGCUCAAGAACAUGGUCACCUAGGCAGCACAAAUUUGCAAUGAAUAGAGCACUAGAACAAAAACUAAUUGGACCAAUGGAGGAGUCACAUAGCAAGGAACAAUCUCCCCAAGCAGUUUUGUGAGAGGUGCUUUGAGCAAGGAGAUCGAAAAUCGCAGCAAAAUGAGCUAGAACUCGUGCUUGAGCUGGAUAUUGGUGUUUGUGGGAGGAAGAAGGAGUGUGUGGGUGCAGUAAUAAGUGGAGGGGGGCCACCGUGGGCCCACGAGGCAGGGGGGCGCGCCCUCCACCCUCGUGGCCAGGUGCUUGCCCUCCUGCUGUGUUCUCAGUGCCAGAUAUUCUCAAAUAUUCCAGAAAAAAUCAUAUUCCAUUUUCAGGGCAUUUGGAGAACUUUUAUUUUUGGGGUAUUUUUAUAUUGCACGGAUAAAUCAGAAAACAGACAGAAAAAUACUAUUUUUACUUUAUUUCAACUAAAUAACAGAAAGUAGGAGGGUACAGAAGAUUGUGUCUUCUAGUUUCAUCCAUCUCAUGCUAUCAAACGGAAUCCACUAACAAGGUUGAUCAGGUCUUGUUAACAAACUCAUUCCGAAUAACAUGGAACCGGAGAAAUUUCGAAUAACACUAUGUUUCCUCAACGGGGAUAUGCACAUCCCCAAUAAUAAGAAUAUCAUAUUUCUUCUUGACAGUAGGAAGAGGAAAUUCAAAACCUCCAAAUAUAAUCGAUGGAAUUUUUCCAAUAGAAUUGAUACUAUGAACUUGAGGUUGUUUCCUCGGAAAGUGUACCGUAUGCUCAUUACCAUUAACAUGAAAAGUGACAUUGCCUUUGUUGCAAUCAAUAACAGCCCCUGCAGUAUUCAAAAAGGGUCUUCCAAGAAUAAUAGACAUACUAUCGUCCUCGGGAAUAUCAAGAAUAACAAAGUCCGUUAAAAUAGUAGCGUUUGCAACUACAACAGGCACAUCCUCACAAAUACCGACAGGUAUAGCAGUUGAUUUAUCAGCCGUUUGCAAAGAUAUUUCAGUAGGUGUCAACUUAUUCAAAUCAAGAUUACAUAUAAAGAGAGAGAGGCAUAACACUAACACCGGCUCCAAGAUCACAUAAAGCAGUUUUAACAUAGUUUCUUUUAAUGGAGCAUGGUAUAGUGGAUACUCCUGGAUCUCCAAGUUUCUUUGGUAUUCCACCCUUAAAAGUAUAAUUAGCAAGCAUGGUGGAAAUUUCAGCUUCCGGUAUCUUUCUUUUAUUAGUAACAAUAUCUUUCAUAUACUUAGCAUAAGGAUUCAUUUUGAGCAUAUCAGUCAAUCGCAUAUGCAAGAAGAUAGGUCUAAUCAUUUCAGCAAAGCGCUCAAAAUCCUCAUCAUCCUUUUUCUUGGAUGGUUUGGGAGGAAAAGGCAUGGGUUUUUGAACCCAUGGUUCUCUUUCUUUACCAUGGUUCCUAGCAACAAAGUCUCUCUUAUCAUAACGUUGAUUCUUUGAUUGUGGGUUAUCAAGAUCAACAACACGUUCAAUUUCUACAUCAUUGUCAUUACUAGGUUGAGCAUCAUCAUGAACAUCAUCAUUAGCAUUUUCAUUAGGUUCAUGUUCAUUACCAGAUUGUGUUUCAGCAUCAGAAAUAGAAAUAUCAUUUGGAUUCUCAGGUGGUUCAGCAAUAGGUUCACUAGAAACAUGCAAAGUCCUAUCAUUUUUCUUUUUCUUCUUUUUAGAAGGACUAGGUGCAUCAAUAUUAUUUCUCUGAGAAUCUUGCUCAAUUCUCUUAGGGUGGUCUUCAGGAUACAAAGGUUCCUGAGUCAUUCUACCAGUUCUAGUAGCCACUCUAACAACAUAAUCAUUUUUCUUACUAUUCAUUUCAUUGAGCAAAUCAUUUUGAGCUUUAAGUACUUGUUCUACUUGAGUGGUAACCAUAGAAGCAUGUUUACUAAUGAGUUUAAGUUCACCUUUAACUCUAGACAUAUAAUCACCCAAGUGUACAAGCGUAUCGGAAUUGUAUUUCAAUUGUCUACCAAAAUAAGCAUUGAAGUUUUCUUGUUUGACAAUAAAAUUAUCAAACUCUUCUAAGCAUUGUCUAGCAGACUUAUAGUGAGGAAUAUCACCUUCAUCAAAUCUAUAGAGAGAAUUUACCUUUACUACCUGUGUCGGGUUAUCAAGACCAUGAGGUUCUUCAAUAGGUAAUGGAUUAGGAUCAUAUAUUUCUUCAACAGGCGGUAAAUUAAGACCAUUUAUUUCUUCAAUAGGAGGUAAAUUCUUAACAUCUUCAGCUUUAAUACCCUUUUUCUUUCAUAGAUUUCUUUGCCUCUUGCAUAUCUUCAGGACUGAGAAAUAGAACACCUCUCUUCUUCGGAGUUGGUUUAGGAAUAGGCUCAGGAGCUGGCUCAGGAGCUAGCUCAAGAAGUGUCCAAUUAUUUUCAUUUGUCAACAUAUUAUUCAAUAGAAUUUCAGCUUCAUCCGGUGUUCUUUCCCUGAAAACAGAACCAGCACAACUAUCCAGGUAAUCUCUGGAAGCAUCGGUUAGUCCAUUAUAAAAGCAAGUAUUUCAUUUUUCUUAAGAGGAUGAUCAGGCAAAGCAUUAAGUAACUUGAGAAGCCUCCCCCAAGCUUGUGGGAGACUCUCUUCUUCAAUUUGCACAAAGUUGUAUAUUUCCCUUAAAGCAGCUUGUUUCUUAUGAGCAGGGAAAUAUUUAGCAGAGAAGUAAUAAAUCAUAUCCUGGGGACUACGCACACAAUCAGGAUCAAGAGAAUUAAACCAUAUCUUAGCAUCACCCUUUAAUGAGAACGGAAAUAUUUUAAGGAUAUAAAGAUAGCGAGAUCUCUCAUCAUUAGUGAACAGGGUGGCUAUAUCAUUUAAUUUAGUAAGAUGUGCCACAACAGUUUCAGAUUCAUAGCCAUGAAAAGGAUAAGAUUCAACCAAAGUAAUUAUAUCAGGAUCAACAGAGAAUUCAUAAUCCUUAUCAGUAACACAGAUAGGUGAAGUAGCAAAAGCAGGGUCAGGUUUCAUUCUAGCAUUAAGAGGGUGCUGCCUCCAUUUAGCUAAUAACCUCUUGAGUUCAUAUCUAUCUUUGCAAGCUAAAAUAGCUAAAGCAGCUUCUUUUUCAAAAACAUAACCCUCAGGAAUAACAGGCGAGUCUUCAUCAUCACUUUCAUCAAUAUAAUCAGUUUCAAUAAUUUCUUUCUCUCUAACCCUAGCAAUUUGUUCAUCAAGAAAUUCACUAAGUGGCACAGUAGUAUCACGCAUAGAAGUAGUUUCAUCAUAAGUAUCAUGCAUAGCAGAAGUGGCAUCAUCAAUAACAUGCGACAUAUCAGAACGAAUAGCAGAAGCAGGUUUAGGUGUCGCAAGCUUACUCAAAACAGAAGGUGAAUCAAGUGCAGAGCUAGAUGGCAGUUCCUUACCUCCCCUCGUAGUUGAGGGAUAAAUUGUUGUCUUAGCGUCUUUCAAGUUCUUCAUAGUGACCAGCAGAUAUAAAUCCCAAGUGACUCAAAGAAUAGAGCUAUGCUCCCCGGCAACGGCGCCAGAAAAUAGUCUUGAUAACCCACAAGUAUAGGGGAUCGCAACAGUUUUCGAGGGUAGAGUAUUCAACCCAAAUUUAUUGAUUCGACACAAGGAGAGCCAAAGAAUAUUCUCAAGUAUUAGCAGUUGAGUUGUCAAUUCAACCAGACCUGGAUAACUUAAUAUCUGCAACAAAGUAUUUAGUAGAAAAGUAGUAUGAUAGUAGUGGUAAUGGUAACAAAAGUAACGGUAGCAAAAGUAAUAUUUUUGGUGUUUUGUAGUGAUUGUAACAGUAGCAACGGAAAAGUAAAUAAGCGGAGAACAAUAUAGGAAAAGCUCGUAGGCAUUGGAUCGGUGAUGGAGAAUUAUGCCGGAUGCGGUUCAUCAUGUAACAAUCAUAACAUAGGGUGACACAGAAAUAGCUCCAAUUCAUCAAUGUAAUGUAGGCAUGUAUUCCGAAUAUAGUCAUACAUGCUUAUGGAAAAGAACUUGCAUGACAUCUUUUGUCCUACCCUCCCGUGGCAGCGGGGUCCUAAUGGAAACUAAGGGAUAUUAAGGCCUCCUUUUAAUAGAGUACCGGAACAAAGCAUUAGCACAUAGUGAAUACAUGAACUCCUCAAACUAUGGUCAUCACCGGGAGUGGUCCCGAUUAUUGUCACUUCGGGGUUGCCGGAUCAUAACACAUAGUAGGUGACUAUAGACUUGCAAGAUAGGAUCAAGAACUCACAUAUAUUCAUGAAAACAUAAUAGGUUCAGAUCUGAAAUCAUGGCACUCGGGCCCUAGUGACAAGCAUUAAGCAUAGCAAAGUCAUAGCAACAUCAAUCUUAGAACAUAGUGGAUACUAGGGAUCAAACCCUAACAAAACUAACUCGAUUACAUAAUAGAUCUCAUCCAACCCAUCACCGUCCAGCAAGCCUACGAUGGAAUUACUCACGCACGGCGGUGAGCAUCAUGAAAUUGGUGAUGGAGGAUGGUUGAUGAUGACGAUGGCGACGAAUCCCCCUCUCCGGAGCCCCGAACGGACUCUAGAUCAGCCCUCCCGAGAGGUUUUAGGGCUUGGCGGCUCCGUAUCGUAAAACGCGAUGAAUCCUUCUCUCUGAUUGUUUUCUCCCUGAAAGUGAAUAUAUGGAGUAGGAGUUGAGGUCGGUGGAGCGUCAGGGGGCCCACGAGGUAGGGGGCACGCCCUAGGGGGGUAGGCGCGCCCCCACCCUCGUGGGCAGGGUGUGGGCCCCCUGACGUGGAUUUUUCUUCCAGUAUUUCUCUUAUUUUCCAAAUAGAUGUUCUGUGGAGUUUCAGGUCAUUCCGAGAACUUUUGUUUCUGCACAUAAAUAACACCAUGGAAAGUCUGCUGAAAACAGCGUCAGUGCGGGUUAGUUCCAUUCAAAUCAUGCAAGUUAGAGUCCAAAACAAGGGCAAAAGUGUUUGGAAAAGUAGAUACGACGGAGACGUAUCAGCUGGCAUGGCAGGUUCGUUCAAGACCAUUCUUAACUCAACUAACGACAUCAUUACAAAGAACCCAAGGGUCCAUGAGAGAUUUUAUCUCCCCUAUCUUCUUCGCCACGACCCUGCUCGCUGGCGCGCGGACGACGGAAGCCUAGCCUUGUGCAAGUUGAUGCUGCUUGAUAAUGAUACAUGUGAUGUUAAGAUGCCAUCGCUUAAGGGUAAGGCCUGGGCAGGUGCAAAUGGAGAUUGGGUUGUUUAUAUUGGGUACAACUGCGAGUGGGAACUUGUGAAUGUGUACACUCGUCAGCGGAUUCCACUUCCAAAAAUCUCAGAUUGCCCUGAGGUUGAGCACACAGAUGAUAUACGCAUGUUCAAAUACGAUCAUGGUGAAUGUCGUCUACGGAAGAUAGCAAUCUGUCGAGUUCCCAACCGCUCUUGGAAUUACAGGAACUGUCAUGUUGUUGCUAUCUUCGACAAGCUUGUUGCCAUCCUUACUUCCACGCCUCGAUGGAUAUUGCUCAAAAAUCAAUUUAUGUACAUGGAUGAGUACUGUGAUGCAAUUCAAUACGAGCUUCUUGUGUUUGCUGCCACCACUCAUGGCACUGUUUUUGCAUGGAAUCCUUAUGGUUUAGGUACAUUUGUCUUCCACCGUAAUUAUAAUUGUUUCAUCCACAUGCAUGCGGGUUAGCUAGUUUCCCGUUACUAAUUAACCUUCUUGUGUUUCCAAGGUCCUGUGAACAUUCCACCACCUAUACUUGAAAUUUUUUAUAACCAAGGGGGAGAUGACGAUGGUGAUGAUCACGAGCAUGAGGACGAGUAGGACCUAUCACUACAAAAAAAA